GUAGGUGUAGUUCCAUGAUAUCUAUUUUUUUUUCUUAAGUUUGUGUUGCUUACCUGCACUUUGACACUGUUAGGAACCUCUUUUUCUCCUGCCCUGUGACCAUUGGUGUGUUUUUAUGACCCAUCUCGGAGGCGGUGGCGUUGCGGGCUUUCAUUCAAUUCCCCCCCCUUUCCUGGUCCGCCAUGCCACACAUGCAUUUGGCUGCAGUUACCUUUGGAUUGUAAAGAGACGUCAGCAAUAUCCGUGACAUGUUCCACCUGCUCUGGAUUGAGCAUCUGCUGCUGUCUGGGAUUCCAAUAGGUGAUGCGGCAUCAAAAUAAACUACAAACAUUACA